AGUCAAGUAAUUAAGUGCAUGUGGUGGAUGCCUUGGCAGUCAGAGGCGAUGAAAGACGUGAUAGCCUGCGAAAAGCUCCGGGGAGGCGGCAAAUAUCCUUUGAUCCGGAGAUGUCUGAAUGGGGGAACCCACCUACUUUAAGGUAGGUAUUGCAACAUGAAUACAUAGUGUUGCAAGGCGAACGAGGGGAAGUGAAACAUCUCAGUACCCUUAGGAAAAGAAAUCAAUUGAGAUUCCCUCAGUAGCGGCGAGCGAACGGGGAUCAGCCCAUUAAGUUAUGUGUGUUUUAGUGGAACGCUCUGGGAAGUGCGAACGUAGAGGGUGAUAUUCCCGUACACGAAAGGGCACACAUAAUGAUGACGAGUAGGGCGAGGCACGUGAAACCUUGUCUGAAUAUGGGGGGACCAUCCUCCAAGGCUAAAUACUCCUGACUGACCGAUAGUGAACCAGUACCGUGAGGGAAAGGCGAAAAGAACCCCUGUGAGGGGAGUGAAAUAGAUCCUGAAACCGCAUGCAUACAAGCAGUGGGAGCACCUUCGUGGUGUGACUGCGUACCUUUUGUAUAAUGGGUCAGCGACUUAUAUUCAGUAGCGAGGUUAACCGUAUAGGGGAGCCGUAGAGAAAUCGAGUCUUAAUAGGGCGUUUAGUUGCUGGGUAUAGACCCGAAACCAGGCGAUCUAUCCAUGAGCAGGUUGAAGGUUGGGUAACACUAACUGGAGGACCGAACCCACUGUCGUUGAAAAGCCAGGGGAUGACUUGUGGAUAGGGGUGAAAGGCUAAUCAAGCCUGGUGAUAGCUGGUUCUCCCCGAAAGCUAUUUAGGUAGCGCCUCGGACGAAUACCAUAGGGGGUAGAGCACUGUUUCGGCUAGGGGGUCAUCCCGACUUACCAAACCGAUGCAAACUCCGAAUACCUAUGAGUACUAUCCGGGAGACAGACUGCGGGUGCUAACGUCCGUAGUCAAGAGGAAAACAAUCCAGACCGCCAGCUAAGGCCCCAAAA
rnacentral:rRNA from 1 species